UGGGGAAUAUUGCGCAAUGGGGGAAACCCUGACGCAGCAACGCCGCGUGAGUGAGGAAGGACUUCGGUCUGUAAAGCUCUGUUAAUGUGGAAAAAUGGUAGUUGGUCUAAUAGGCCGAUUAUUUGAUGGUACACAUAGAGGAAGCACCGGCUAACUUCGUGCCAGCAGCCGCGGUAAUACGAAGGGUGCAAGCGUUGUUCGGAUUUAUUGGGCGUAAAGCGCGCGUAGGCGGACCUGCAAGUCAGAUGUGAAAUCUCGGGGCUCAACCCCGAAACUGCGUCUGAAACUACAGGUCUAGAAUCUUGGAGGGGGAAGGGGAAUAUCGCAUGUAGGGGUAAAAUCCGUAGAUAUGCGAUGGAACACCAGAGGCGAAGGCGCCUUCCUGGACAAGUAUUGACGC
rnacentral:rRNA from 1 species